UACGAAGGGUGCAAGCGUUACUCGGAAUUACUGGGCGUAAAGGGUGCGCAGGCGGCGGUUCGCGUGGCGAGAUGAAAUCUCCUGGCUUACCUGGGAGGGUGGUCGCCAGACGGGAUCGCUUGAGGGUCGGAGAGGGGCGUGGAAUUCCGGGUGGAGCGGUGAAAUGCGUAGAGAUCCGGAGGAACACCGGUGGCGAAGGCGGGUCUCUGGGCCGUAACUGACGCUGAGGAGCGAAAGCUAGGGGAGCAAACAGG
rnacentral:rRNA from 1 species